UAGGCCCUCUCCCUCUGUGGGGCUGGGGAGAGGGGAUGGGGCAUGGAGUCCCCUGGAGUUUUCUCCCUGGUCUCGACUUGUCCAUCACAGCACCUGUUCCCUUUGCUUCUGUCCUCUAGCAGCUCAUCAAAUCGAAUUAGGAGCUACAAUGAUGAAGGGAACAAUGCUGAUUUCCAAGAAGAUUUUGGAGACUUUUUACUUAGAACUAAAUCACAUUUUCUCCCCAACUGUUAAAAUUACCAGACUGAGCUGGAUUUGAAAUUUAGAAACCAAAUGUGAAAUAAAGACCCAUGCUUGGCAAAGA